AAACAGAUGGCAGCAUUCUGACUGAGAUUUCUAAGUGUUUAGAACUGUGACUAAAGACAUUUCUUUUCUCCGUAGAUUACCUAGCAUCCUUUCAGACCAACCCAAAGUGGACAAAAAUGUAGCAGGCAGGUAAAGAUGAAAAGACCUUGCCGGUCUUGAGAUAGCAGGGGAAAGAUGACGGAGGACUAGAACUACUCAUGGUGAGGACUUUACACCAAGAGGUAUGUGGACACCAUUCUUGGCCCUGGGACAACGGACAAGAAGCAGGGUAAUAGGGAUCAAGCACCGUAUUCGUGACAAGCACAGAACAGCGUAUUCAUGCUGGAGACUGUAUUCUUUUACGGAUGCAAUUAGGAUCUGAGACCAGUUUGAAUACAUGUGUUCUAGAAACCGCGGAAGGAUGCUGCGCAAGUAAGACUCCAUGGCCAUCUCCAAUAUGAGAGGAAAUUUGCAUCUCCGAUGAGCACUAAAGAAAACCAAAUACUUUUUUU
ensembl:lncRNA